rnacentral:sRNA from 1 species
UCUGUAAUAACCGGUUUUGGGAUCUGGAACCCAAGAAAUCUUCUGGGUUGAUUCUUCCACUCCCUUCUUCUUCAUCACAGCCGAAGCAACAGCUCCACUUCUUCCACCGCUCGAAACGCUCCCUUGCGCCGCCGUGGCCGCAUAACCACGUCUGUUAUCACACAAAAAACGACACCGUUUAGAAAAAAACAGAGCAUAACUACAAGAAAAAAACAGAGCAUAAAGUAGAAAACAGAACAAUAGAGACUUACCGGAAGAUAGCAUUGGAGAGUUCACGAGAGACGAAAGCAGAUACGAUCUUAACGUUAGAGAUAGAACGAGCCAUUUUCGAAGUAAGUGGUUUCUUGAAAAGAGAGAAAACAGACUUUUUAUUCUUGUAGCUUCUUGUCGCCGCCGCAGAAGGAGAGAUAUAUCCGAGGAAUGAGAUAAUUAUACUGCGGCAACGAGAUUGAAGAAAGUUGGUAUCGUCUGUGUUCUCUCUCUCAAGGCUUUCGAAAAUGGUUUGAAGAGAUGAGAAGAGAGGAAGAGGAGAG